rnacentral:rRNA from 1 species
UGGGGAAUUUUCCGCAAUGGGCGCAAGCCUGACGGAGCAACGCCGCGUGAGGGAUGAAGGCCUUCGGGUCGUAAACCUUUGUCGUGCAAGAAGAAUGUCUUUUGGGUAAAUAAUCCAGGAGAAUGACUGUAUUGCAGGAGGAAGCUCCGGCUAACUACGUGCCAGCAGCCGCGGUAAUACGUAGGGAGCGAGCGUUGUCCGGAUUGAUUGGGCGUAAAGGGCGCGCAGGUGGUUGAGUAAGUCACAUGUCUAAUCCGCAAGCUUAACUUGCGAUCGGCAGGUGAAACUACUUAACUAGAGUAUAGGAGAGGAAAGUGGAAUUCCCAGUGUAGCGGUGAAAUGCGUAGAUAUUGGGAAGAACACCGGUGGCGAAGGCGACUUUCUGGACUAUUACUGACACUGAGGCGCGAAAGCUAGGGGAGCAAACGGGAUUAGAUACCCCGGUAGUCCUAGCCGUAAACGGUGAACACUAGGUGUAUCCUGAGUUAUCGGGAUGUGCCGAAGCAAACGCAUUAAGUGUUCCGCCUGGGGAGUACGGUCGCAAGGUUG